UGGGGAAUAUUGGACAAUGGGGGCAACCCUGAUCCAGCCAUGCCGCGUGAGUGAUGACGGCCCUAGGGUUGUAAAGCUCUUUCACCGGUGAAGAUAAUGACGGUAACCGGAGAAGAAGCCCCGGCUAACUUCGUGCCAGCAGCCGCGGUAAUACGAAGGGGGCUAGCGUUGUUCGGAAUUACUGGGCGUAAAGCGCACGUAGGCGGACAUUUAAGUCAGGGGUGAAAUCCCGGGGCUCAACCCCGGAACUGCCUUUGAUACUGGGUGUCUUGAGUGUGGAAGAGGUGAGUGGAAUUGCGAGUGUAGAGGUGAAAUUCGUAGAUAUUCGCAGGAACACCAGUGGCGAAGGCGGCUCACUGGUCCACAACUGACGCUGAGGUGCGAAAGCGUGGGGAGCAAACAGG
rnacentral:rRNA from 1 species